GCGGCAGUAGCUGAGUGGUAGCGCCCCCGCUUCACAUGUGGAGAGACCUGGGUUCGAUUCCCAGCUGCUUCC
rnacentral:tRNA from 1 species